AGAGUUUGAUCAUAGCUCAGGAUGAACGCUAGCGACAGGCCCAACACAUGCAAGUCGAGGGGCAACAUGGUAUCAGCUUGCUGAUACUGAUGGCGACCGGCGCACGGGUGAGUAACGCGUAUGUAAUCUACCUGUAACAGAGGGAUAACCCGGAGAAAUCCGGACUAAUACCUCAUAGCACAUAUUAUUCGCAUGAAUUUUAUGUUAAAGAGACUCGGUUACAGAUGAAC
rnacentral:rRNA from 1 species